rnacentral:rRNA from 1 species
UACAGAGGGGGCAAGCGUUGUUCGGAAUUACUGGGCGUAAAGGGCGCGUAGGCGGCCUGUUAAGUCAGACGUGAAAUCCCCGGGCUCAACCCGGGAACUGCGUCUGAUACUGGUAGGCUUGAAUCCGGGAGAGGGAUGCGGAAUUCCAGGUGUAGCGGUGAAAUGCGUAGAUAUCUGGAGGAACACCGGUGGCGAAGGCGGCAUCCUGGACCGGCAUUGACGCUGAGGCGCGAAAGCCAGGGGAGCAAGCGGG